rnacentral:tRNA from 1 species
GGAGGAACCGGCAUAGGUGUGCCAAGCGGUCUUGAAAACCGUGGCGUGUAAAAGCGUUGGGGGUUCGACUCCCUCUUCCUCCGCCA